rnacentral:lncRNA from 1 species
AGAGAGAGAGGGCAGUAGAAAUAGCAUUUGAGGAAAUAAUGGCCAAACAUAUUCCAAAUUUGAUGAAAACUCUAAACCUAUAGAUCCAAGAAUCUCGAUGCACCCCAAAUCAAAUAGGAAGAAAACAAAUACUAUGGCACUUCAAACCAAAUUACUUAAAAUCAAUGAUGAGAAAGUUUUAAAAGCAGUGAAAAAGAAGGCAAUGUUAAGUAUGGUAAAACUAAGGUAAGGAUAACAUCAGAUUUCUCAUUAAAAACAAUGAAUGAGAAGUCAGUGGAAAAACAUCUUUAAAAUACUGGAAGAAAAGUUUAUCAACCUAUUAUUCUAUAUCCAGUACAAACAUCUUUCCAAAAUGAAGGUGAAAUAAGAAUUUUUUUCAGAUAAAAAAGUCAAAGGAGUUCAUCAUCAGCCAGUCAGCAUUACAAGAAAUGUUAAAAGUAUGUUUAGGCAAAAGGACAGUGACACCAGUUGAAGACAAUAGAUCUGUUCAAAUGAAUGAAGAGCACUGGAAGUGGUAGCUACAUGGAUCAAUACACAAGGGUUUUGGGGUUUAGACUUACUAUUUAACUCUCUUUAAAAUAUAAUUGACUAUACAAAAAUAAUAAUGGUGUAGUAAAGGGGUUUAUAAUAGAUUUAUACCAUAUAUAAAGUAAAAUUUAUGCCAUCAAGAGCAUGAAGACAGAAGAAAAAUAUGAGUAUACUAUUUUAAGGUCCCUGUAUUCUUAUAGCUAUUUUUGUACCUGAAUUAUCUUUCCUAUUAGAGUAUAAUCCAUUUAUGUUAGUAUCUUCAUUUAUUUUUUAAGAUUAUGUGAUAUAAGAUAAUCUAAUAUACAAUGAGAUAUAUGUUAUAACCUGGCCUAUGCAGACAAGAUUCCUUAAUUCCAAUUUGUCUUAUAGGCAAGUGAUUGAGGGGUGAAAGCGCCGACUACAUGGAAUAUAGUGCUUUUGCAUGUCUGAGGAAAAAAGCUGUUUUCAACAAACAUCUGCUUUGACCAGUGCCCUGACUUAUUUGCUUGUCUGAGUCUGCUGGCAAAUCCAAAAUCUAAAACUGUGGAAAUGGGCAAAACAGCAGAAAGAAGCCAUUAAAGAAAAGCACUAGCUAAUUCAUGUGGACCCAUAUAACCAACUCCUCAGGAAGGAAGGAGAAACAACAGUCUGUUAUGCAUAAUUGCGUUGAAUGUUUUAUUUUUUCAUUUAAGGAAAGCAAAACAUUUUUUGAAAUCAGAAGUUCUCUUAGUCAUACUUAAAAGGAAAACUCAAGGCAGUAUCAGAAUUAAUGGAACGAAAAUAAACAUUAGUCUUGCAUCAUAUUUCUCUGUUAAUUUGAAAUUCAUUAUUUGUGGUUGCUAAAUAUUUGGUGAGCUUUUUAAAGGACCAAACUGAAAAAAAUCUAAAUUGGUUUUUGGUUAGAAUAACCUAACAUCUGGAGUUCCCCUUGUGGUGCAGCGGAAAUGAAUCCAACCAGGAACCAUGAGGACGCUGGUUGCAUCCCUGGCCUUGCUCAGUGGGUUAUAGAUCCGGCAUUGCCAUGAGCUGUGGUGUAGGUCACAGACGAGGCUCAGACCCUGUGUUGCUGUGGCUGUGGCUGAGGCCAGCAGCUGCAGCUCUGAUUUGACACCUAACCUGGGAACCUCCGUAUACUGUGAGUGUGGCCCCCCCAGAAAAGAAUAACCUAACAUCUUUAGUUGCCAUAAAAUCAAACCAAGGCUAAUAACUCUUUAAUACAAACAGAUGCCACAUCUUGAGACUGUUCAUGAUUCAGAAAUAAAGGACAGGCGUGUGCAGGACAAAUAUGAUUUCUUACUCAUUAAAUGGAGGUUGGAUGGUAUGAUGGGUUGAAUUGUGGCUACUCCUCCCCCUCAAAGAUAUGUCCUCAUUAAAUCCCAAGAACCUAUGGGUAUUAAUUUAUUUAGAAAAAUAGUCUUUGCAGAUGUAAUUAAAAUAAGGAUCUUGAGGAGAUCACCCUGGAUUAUCUGAGUAUACUCUAAAUCCAAUGACAAGUAUCCUUCUAAGAAAAAGUCCAGGGGUAUUUAACACAGACAAAAGAGAGGACACAGAGGAGAAGGCCAUAUGGUGAUGGAGGCAGAGAUGGAAUUAGGCUGCCACAAACCAAGGAGAGCCUCCAGAAGCUGGAAGAGGUGAGGAAGAUUUCUCCCCUAGAGCCUUUAGAAGAAACACAGCCAUACUGAUGCCUUGAUUUCAGGCUUCCAGCCACCAGAACUGUGAGAGAAUCAAUUUGAUUGUUUUAACCCACAAAGCUGGUGGUCAUUUGUUAAGGCAGUCCUAGAAUUAACACAGAUAGGGUGCAGUUUAACCAGUAAAACUUGUUUCUCUUAAGGGUUGCUCCUCAGAGGGAAUUUUCGCUGACUCUUUCCUAGCUAAUGAAUAGAUGAAAACUCUUGAGAGUAAAAUUUAAUUUUCAAGGGAUGAUAUGUCAUUUUGUUGAGGCAGAGUUAAGUAUUGCCUGCAGUGUAUAGUGGUUUAAGUUUGAAAAUUUUGGAAUUUUUCUAAUGGAUUGAUUGAUGAUUAUUUUUGUUCCCUGAGGAUUCAAUUAUUUUCUGUAAUAGUUUAUGAGAAAUGGAAACUUGUUCCUCUUAUCAAGCCCACAAUCAGAUUUCUCCAGUUCUCCACAAUGUCUAUUAUAUAGUUUGGAGUUAAUAAGUGGAAAAGAAAAUUUAGUUACAAUGAAAUUUAGGCAACUAUUUGACAAGUAGGACUCCUUAUGCCACAGAUCUGAUUUACCUGAAUUACAGGGCAAAACUCACAAUGCCUGUUGCACUAUUAUUUUUAACCAUGCUAUAACUUAAAAUUGUGGUUAUUAGGGUUUUAUACAGUCAGGUAAAUGGUGUUUUUAAGAAUUGCUUUUGAAGAGCAACUGGGCAGCACAUAUCAAGGAACUUUAAAGUGUCCUUAACUUUGACCACUGAAUCCACCUCUGUAUAUCCAUUCCAAUAAAAUAACCCUAAUUUUAAAAAUAAAAAGUUGUAAAGGCAAUGAUAUUCAUUAUGGAGUUACUUAAAUUACAUAUUACAGCAUAUUAUUAAUAACUUUAGUUAUGGAAUGGUUUAAAAAUUCUAUGUCAUAUGGAAUAUCAUGCAAUCACUAAAUAGAAUGUGGUUUUUUUUGUUUUUUUUUUUUUUGCUUUUUAGUGUCGAACCUAUAGCAUAUGGAAGUUCCCAGGCUAGGGGUCAAAUCGUAGUUACAGCUGCUGGCCUAAGCCACAGCCACAGCAACACAGGAUCUGAGCCAUGUCUUCGACCUACACCACAGCUCAUGGCAAUGCCGAAUCCUUAACCACUGCACGAGGCCAGGGAUCAAACCUGCAUCCUCAUGGAUACUAGUUGGGUUCAUUAACCACUGAGCCACAAUGGAUACUCCUAAAAUGUGAUACUUAUGAAGACUAUAUUAACAUUGAAUAAUCUUUUAAUAAUAUGUAAGAGCAGUCUGCAACAACAAAUUUAGAGUAUGAUUGUUUGGAGUUCCAAUUGUGCCCUCCACAGGUGAUCCAGAUAUUAAAGUUAACAGAUACAGACUUUAAAAUAACUUUGAUAGUAUAUCAAAAACAGAGAAAACGAUAUUGAUAUAAAGGAAAAUUUGUUACUCAUUUAAAGAAUUGGAAUCUAAACAAAGAAUAAAAUAAAAAUUCUGAAAGUAGAUUGCCAUUAUCAUAACAGCAUUAUAUUUUAAAAAAUUCCUGCUGGAUGUGAGCCUAGAUAGAAAAGAUAAAACUUUAUGGAGUUAAAUAACAAUCUCCCCCACUUGUGGUAUAUAUUUGCAUCCAGGGAUUGAUACACAGGCUAAGAACCUUCUAGAAACAUAGCUAUAGUGGAGGUUCAGACAUAUGCAGUUAUAUAAUAAUGAACUGAAGCAAUUGUAAAGGAAGCUGGGCAGAGACAGGAUGAAGCUUCAAGGAGAGUGAUACUGCUGAGAGUGCUCAGAUGAGGCAGCAGAGCGAGAUCUCCAUCCCGAAUUAUUUUAGUACAACCUGCUGCAAUAGGCAGCAAUGUUGUUAGGUGAUUUAAGCAAUGUGGCAAUACUGAAAUAUCAGUCAAUAUAUACAUUCUCCAAACCACUGGUCCUUAAAGUAGGGUGCAGGCAGUCCAGGAGGACAUAUACAGUCUGUUGAGUUUUAGGAAGGGAAUGCUAAAACUUACAUUCAACUCAUCUUUGAGAAGCAUGUAUAUCUAUUUUUAUCAUGUACAUAGGGUAUUGGUAUGUGGAACAUACACACUUGUAAAUAGAUAUAUGUAGUUUGGGGGUGGGUUUAAGUUUGUUUGUUGUUUUUUUUUAAUUGUUGGCCCAAAUUUUGGAGACCAUUUCUCUAAGCCUACAUCUUCAUUCAUUAAACAUCAGGUUGCUUCUGCUCUUUCAUGAUUCAAAUCCCACCACAGCUGGUUCAUAUCUGGAUUUGGAGUUUCAUUUGCUUACCUCAGUUUUCUCCAUCUGUAAUUUCUUGGAACCCAGGUAUUUUCUGAACCAGAGUAAAAUGACAAUCAUAAUUUGCAAAAAGAAAAGAUGGUUUUCUCAAAUUUAGAUGUCUUUCUAUUGGACAUUUUUAUUAAAUAAUCCUACCUAUUGCUGUUAUUUGUUUUCCAGAGUCUUAGUAAAUAAUAAAACAGAUGAAUAGGUAAGUAGAAAAUUAGUAAGAAGGAACCAUAAGGUAUAGGUUUUAUUUAGCUUGUCUUGGUUUUUUAAUAGAUACAUGCUCUUAGCUAUGAUUUUUUAAAAACCGCAGCUUUAUAAUAUACUCAUAUAUUUAUUCUUUCCUUGUAUGAUGGAAUUAAACUUAUCAGCAUAGUAAAGUUCCUUAAGGGCACUAGACUCCCAAGAUAUGCUGAUGCCUGGAAACACUUGAGAAGCCUCAUUUUGUUUUAUGGCUUUGAUAGCUGGUAUCUUUUUUUUUUUUUUUUCUUUUUAGGGCCUCACCAGCAGCAUGUAGAAGUUCCCAGGCUAAGGGGUCAAAUUGGAGCUAUAGCUGCUGGGGCCUGUACCACAGCCACAGCAAUGCCAGAUCCAAGCCACAUCUUCGACCUACACCACAGAUCAUGGCAACACUGGAUCCUUAACCCACUGAGUGAGGCCAGGGAUCAAACCCACAGCCUCAUGGAUACUAGUUGGAUUGGUUUCCACUGAGCCAACAUGGGAACUCCUAGUAUCUUUUAAUAGCACUUGGAUGAGUAACUUUUUCAGCUGACAUAAAUUUUGUUUAUAUGUAAAGAAAUUGAUAGCUGUAAGAGCAGAUUUUGAGAGUAGACAAGGGAAGGAAAUAAAGGCUGUAAGUAGUUGAGGAAGAGAGAUGGCCUGCUAGGAGGUGUGGGAGUCCUUCUACCUCCCAGCUUGCCUUACACAAGUUGAAAGAAAACUUGGGGUCAUUUAGCAAAACUGUGACUAGGGCAGGGUGGGGGUAACCAGGACAUAGGACUUUCAGUUUUAAAACUAGGAAAGUCCCAGCAAACCUCAUGCAAACUCCCUCCUUCUGUAUGGUCCCUUCCUACAUGACAAGCAAAAGCUAUUAUUGUUCCCACUUUACAGAUGAGGCUUAUGUCAGCUAAAUAUCUGUUAGAAUACUCUCAGUGAUCUCAGUGAUGGGAAGCUAGCUAAUGGGUCUGGUGGAGACCUCUUUCUGAAACGGAAAUAUUUUCCAUCAUUUACACGCGUUGUUCCUUAUGUGAAAAUCAUACAGCGCUUACAUUAAGUCUAGGAAACCAACUUGCUUGAGAGGUCAAAAAUCAAAUAACCCUAUCCAUUCACUCUUCAGCUCAAUAUACAUAAUCAUUUCAAUCAACCCAGCAUUUAAGACCGGUAUUAAGCUCCCAAGGGGAUGUGAUAAAAGAACACGAGCCAAUGAACAAGUCUAUGAAGAAUAUUUGAUAAAUGUAUCUAAACAUGGUAGUCCAAGAUAAGAGUCUCUGUUGGAAUAAAAGUGUAAUAUGAAACGGCAUGUGAGAAAUAGGAGUGCAGAUAAUUAAAUCUAGGCUAUAGCAAGUUAUUUCCUAUGGUGUGUCCGAUCAGUCAGACUUGACAAGUUAAUUCAAAUUGGCUUGAUUAUGUGGAUCUCUUUAGCUCAAAGAUUCAAUGACAAACUUUGAUCAAAGAGAAAAAAUUAUACCAUAAAAAAUAGUAUUAUGAAGAUAAUUUCGAGGGGGAGGAAAAACUCAAGGGAAGCCACAGUUUCAAUUAUAAUCCAUAUUCACUGUCAUUAUUAAUAAGGAGAUAAAUCCCAUUAUAGUUAAAUGUGCAUAAAAGGUGCUAAAUUUAGUAGCUCUGAAAUAGUAUUGCAACACAGAAUAAAAGGGAAACCUGGAAUAAUUUUUGCAAGACGAAGUAAAGAAAAGAGGUUAGAAUUAAUAUUGGAAAUACAAUUGAUUUAGUUGGAACGAGCAAGUGCAUUACUUAAUACUAGCCUGGAAUGUGCUUUAAGAUAAAAAUAAUAUGAUUUUUCUUUCCCCUCCUUUUUUAGAUUAGGUUUCUACACAGCCCAAAUACACCAGAUGAUUGUGAAAUUUUCACUUUAAUUUGCAUGCCUAAGUAUAGUUCCGCAUUAGAAAUGAGAACAAAAUGAAAUGUAACUGAUAAAGUGUAAGGGAAUAUAUCUUGGUUAAAGAAUGAAAUUAUUGAUCAGAAAUUAAAGAAUAAAUACUCUGUGUCAAUAAAAAUAAAUUU